rnacentral:rRNA from 1 species
CGGAAGAAUAAGUCAGUGGUGAAAGUUUGCAGCUCAACUGUAAAAUUGCCAUUGAAACUGUUUUUCUUGAGUGUAAAUGAGGUAGGCGGAAUGUGUUGUGUAGCGGUGAAAUGCUUAGAUAUGACACAGAACACCGAUUGCGAAGGCAGCUUACUAAGAUACAACUGACGCUGAGGCACGAAAGCGUGGGGAUCGAACGGGAUUAGAUACCCUGGUAGUCCACGCAGUAAACGAUGAUUACUAGCUGUUUGCGAUAUACUGUAAGUGGCUAAGCGAAAGCGAUAAGUAAUCCACCUGGGGAGUACGUUCGCAAGAAUGAAACUCAAAGGAAUUGACGGGGGCCCGCACAAGCGGAGGAACAUGUGGUUUAAUUCGAUGAUACGCGAGGAACCUUACCCGGGCUUGAAAUGCAGAGGAAUAACUUGGAAACAGGUUAGUCAGCAAUGACCUCUGUGUAGGUGCUGCAUGGUUGUCGUCAGCUCGUGCCGUGAGGUGUCGGCUUAAGUGCCAUAACGAGCGCAACCCUUGUCAUUAGUUACUAACAGGUUAAGCUGAGGACUCUAGUGAGACUGCCACCGUAAGGUGUGAGGAAGGUGGGGAUGACGUCAAAUCAGCACGGCCCUUACGUCCGGGGCGACACACGUGUUACAAUGGGGGGUACAGAAAGCAGCUACUUGGCGACAAGAUGCUAAUCUCCAAAACCUCUCUCAGUUCGGAUCGGAGUCUGCAACUCGACUCCGUGAAGCU